rnacentral:rRNA from 1 species
AUUGAACGCUGGCGGCAGGCCUAACACAUGCAAGUCGAACGAGUGGCGGACGGGUGAGUAACGUCUGGGAAACGGCCUGAUGGAGGGGGAUAACUACGGGAAACGGUAGCUAAUACCGCAUACCAUCAGAUGUGCCCAGAUGGGAUGAGCUUGUUGGUGGGGUAACGGCUCACCAAGGCGACGAUCCCUAGCUGGUGUGAGAGGAUGACCGGCCACACUGGGACAGAUACACGGUCCAUACGCCUACGGGAGGCAUCAGUGGCGAGUAUUGCACAAUGGGCGCAAGCCUGAUGCAGCCAUGCCGCGUGUAUGAAGAAGGCCUUCGGGUUGUAAAGUACUUUCAGCGGAGAGGCGUUACCCGCAGAAGAAGCACCGGCUAACUCCGUGCCAGCAGCCGCGGUAAGAC